ACAUCUUUGGCUCUGCCUGGAGCAGAAGCAUUCUUCAGCUUUUCCUCCAACAUCACCACCCUAAGCUUUUAACCUUUCUGGUUCCAACUGUUUGGAUGUCGUUGCUCUUUCCUUAUUUCUUGGCCAGUUGUCCCUUUCCUGAGAAUUUCCCUAGAGACUUGAUGUUCUGCUCUGCAGCACGCUUUGCCACCUGCUGCAGGGGAAAUAAUCCUCAGUCUAAAGCGAGAUGCAUUUGGCAUUGUUUAUGGGAGAGGAUGGAGGGCUUACAGGCUCGUGGUGCGAAGGUAAACACGGAGUAACACGGAUAAGCCUAGGGCUAGAUUCAAAACACUGUGCAAUCCUGGCUCCGGCUGGAACUUUGGAGAAACCAUUUAGGCUGACUAAACCUGGACGCCUUCAUCUCAGAAGGAGAAAUUUUUGAGAUGAGCUUUGAGGUUCUUUUUUCCAACUACUGGCUUCACGAAUCCCGCUGGGCCUGGUGCCUGGGUGCUGCAUCCUGGGGAGACGAGGGUAAGCGGAGGGUGGGGCUCUCUUUCUUGGGGACCUUGACCCCCCUCCCUUUCUCUCCCCUCCCGGGUUGCCGGGGGCCCAGCCACGUGCAGGCUGUGGCGGGGGAGCCACGGGGGAGAGCGCUGGGUCAGCAGCACCAGGCAGCUCCUGGCUGGCUCCCCGGGUUGGCUUUGCUCAAGGCGAGAGCUGUCAACUCUGCCCUUUUGAAAAUGAGCAACAAAGGGGAAAAGAAAGAAAAGAGAAAGGGAAGUGGGGGAGCCCAGGGUGGGAGUCGGGGGGAGGCCAGGGCUGGGAGAACAGGUGGGGACUAUUUAAACAGAAGGCCUGACUCAGCCGUUUUCUUUCACUGAGUUUCCAAAGGACUGUU
rnacentral:lncRNA from 1 species